CUAUGUAUAGACAUAAGAAACAAGCUGGGACUCUUCUGCACUCCCUUCCCUUGCUUCUGUCUUUCAUAGAAAAGAUUGAAGAAAAAUCUUUAUUGGAGAUAAUCUGCUGGUGUCAAGAAAACCUGAAAUGGGCAUGGAGCGCAAACAAGGUCAGUAGCCAGAGUCCCACUUCAACAUGAAGAUCUUUCCCUGCUGUCAGAAAGGGAGUUUCAGAGCCUAGGAGCGGUAAACAGGAAAAGUCCCUCUUCUUUCCCCAUCAAAUAUGCCUCUAAAGAUGACAGGACCAAGACAAGGGCGUCCCCUAAUAUUCUAGGCAUUAGCAUCAUAGACUCCCAGAGUGGAAGAAUGAGUUCAUCAACUGCAUCUCCACUCAGGCCUUCAAUUCAACCUGGCACCAUAGUCCCAUUUCCCCUUUUUACCUUCCCAGGACUCAAAGGUAUUGUCUACACAGGCAAAAAAGUCCUGCUUCAACUUGCAUCUUCUUGGGCUGUAGUAACAUUAAUGCAUUAAAUGAAGUGAGAACAGCAUUGCCAAACAUAUGUUUCCCCUAUGUGAUCUCAUUUCAGUGUUAAAGGGUGAUCCUGUGGUGAUCCUGUGUGUUACAUUUUGCAUUAUUUCUAGCUACAUGACCUUGGCCACUCUCAAACAUGGAAAUAUAUAUAUAUAUGCCCACAUUAUAUACUCGUAUGUAUGUCCCUCCUCCAGGAAAUAAUGCCCGACUGCUCACUGGAGGGGAGGAUAUUAGAGGCAAAGUUGAAGUAUUUUGGC
rnacentral:lncRNA from 11 species